CAAUAGCGUAUAUUUAAGUUGCUGCAGUUAAAAAGCUCGUAGUUGGAUUUCGGGUGGGAAUGGCCGGUCCGCCGUUUCGGUGUGCACUUGCUACGCCCACCUUGCUGCCGGGGACGUGCUCUUGAGUUCACGCUCGGGACACGGAGUCGGCGAGGUUACUUUGAGUAAAUUAGAGUGUUCAAAGCAGGCCUACGCUCUGAAUACAUUAGCAUGGAAUAACACGAUAGGACUCCGAGCCUAUUCUGUUGGUCUUCGGGACCGGAGUAAUGAUUAAGAGGGACAGUUGGGGGCAUUCGUAUUCCGAUGUCAGAGGUGAAAUUCUUGGAUUAUCGGAAGACGAACAUCUGCGAAAGCAUUUGCCAAGGAUGUUUUCAUUAA
rnacentral:rRNA from 1 species